rnacentral:tRNA from 1 species
GCCUGGGUGGCUCAGUCGGUAUGGCAUCUGACUUUGGCUCAGGUCAUGAUCUCAUGGUUCAUGGGUUCAAGCCCCACUUUGGGCU